rnacentral:lncRNA from 1 species
UUGUACUCGUAAGUUUAGCCACUAAAUAUAUGCUUAGCCGCUGCUGCAACCUCACCACUUAACCAUACCUCACCCAUUAAGCUUUGCUAGUCUUGAUACCUUUGGAAAUGAGAUUGCUGAGUCCCCUGUGGCUCACAGAUUACUACAACACCAGUUGCAGGUACACGUAAAGAUUACUUGACGCGAGCGCGUUGAUUGUUCAUUUGGAGUUGCUUGUUCUUCUUCUUCUUCAUCGAUCUAGGAUGGGUUCCAGGCCGGCAGCCUGGGAUAGCAAGGAUGGACGUCGUUCUUAUUUUUCUCGUUUGUUUUCGUCGGUAGUCGGACCCUGAUCUUACUCUUGAUGAUUAUGUAAUGUACUGAUGUGACACUGAUGUAGCUUGUGGCGAGUGUAA